CCCAUCCAUACCUCCGCCCCAUGACAGAUCCCCUGGGACUCCCACGCCUAUCCAACCCCCCCCCCCCCCGCUCGUUGUCCCCUGACCGCCCCCUCCCGGGACCCUCUGCCCCUAACCACCCCCCUGGGAUUCCACCCCGUAUCCAACCGCCCCCUGCUCCCUGUCCACUGACUGCCCCAACCCCUAUCUAGUAUCCACAACCCCACAGCCUGACAGACCUCCCGGGACUCCCACGCCUAUCCAACCGCCCCCUGCUCCCUGUCCCCUGAGAAGAUGUUGCCUGAGAAGAGGAAUAACGGCUUAAAAAUAUAACACCACCGUGUCCAUCACCACACAACGCUGUGGGCUCCCCAGUGCUAUUGGGCUGCUCCCUGGCCUUGGCAGGACCUGACUCCAAUUUUACACCAGUAGGAAUGAGGCAAUAGCUGUUCUGAAGUCAGCAGAGCUACACUGAUGUCAAAUUUGGCUAAGAAACAUCAGAAUCAGGCCCAGGGACUUCUUCUUUCCCAAGAAUGGUGGUAGCUUCAGUUCUCUUUUCCUGGCACUGGGUGUUUCAGCUCAUCCCCUCUCUCUCACUCGCUUGCUUGUCACUUGCUUCCUGAUCACUGGACUGAAGUGCAUUUCAGUAUUUUUAACUGCAGUCCUUCCAUUCUUAGUUAAGCUCUAUCAUGGCUUCAGGUGGGCAGUUUAUUUUUGAUAAGGGCUAUAGCAGCUGUACAAACAUUAGACCAAGGGAGAUAGUUACACCAGGAUAUUGGCAGUUGUGUCUCUCCAGCGAGGCAAAUAAAAUCCCACCUUGCUCCCUACAUAGCCAGACCCCACUCCCCCACUUUUGUGCUCUGUCUCUGCUGUCAGUACCCUCUCUCUGCUCUUUUUGUUCUGCCUCUGAGGCUCUUGUGUCUCUCCUCCCACCCUCCAUUUAAAGUUAGGCAGUGAUGACUCCUCCCACCCCAAACAGCCAGUACAAACUGUAAGUCCCAGAGCAUUAGAAAACUGUUCAGAGACUGGCAAUAAAGUUAAUUGGGAGCUACGCCUUUGAUUAUACUAUUGCAGCAUCACCUUCUCUGCCUCUUCUUGCUCAAGCACAUGGGUUGUCAGAUGGUUUCAGUUAUACUGGUCUACAAUACACAAUUGUCAGCCUGAUUUUCCAUACAUGAAGGUGCCAAAUAAUUCAACAAAAAAACCCGAGGAGUACUGUCUCUAAGGUGCCACCGUACUCCUUGUUGUUGUUCUUUGCUGAUACAGACUAACACGGCUACCACUCUGAAACCUGUCACCAAAUAAUUCAGGAAUACAGUGCUGCUGAACACAAGGAAAACGUGUGUCUUGACUUGGACUCAUUGCAUUUCCUAGAUCUGAGUAUCCUUUCACUGCGAACACUUCCACUGACUGGCUGAGUACGCAAUGGAUGGGCUUUCUCAGCAAAGAGGCACAGAAAACAUUAGCCUUCUAAGUACAUAAUGGUGAAGUCGUGAAGUUGGGACUCAAUCAUUUUGGCGGAAAUCACAACUUGCUCAGCUCUGUAACCUGAAAGCUUGUUAAGAGGUGCUUCACCUCCCCACACUUGGAAUAAAGCACGAAGAAUCAUUUC